rnacentral:rRNA from 1 species
AUGGAGCGGGUAGCGGGAAUCGAACCCGCAUCAUUAGCUUGGAAGGCUAGGGGUUAUAGUCGACGUUGGUUGAUUAUUUUUAACGCGAAUUGGAUCUGA